rnacentral:rRNA from 1 species
GACAGUGGGGAAUAUUGCACAAUGGGGGAAACCCUGAUGCAGCGACGCCGCGUGGGUGAAGAAGUAUUUCGGUAUGUAAAGCCCUAUCAGCAGGGAAGAAAAUGACGGUACCUGAUCAAGAAGCCCCGGCUAACUACGUGCC